GGGCUUGACAUCCCACGAACCUGUCGAAAGAUAGGUGCCUUCGAGGGUGCUGCACAGGUGCUGCAUGGCUGUCGUCAGCUCGUGUCGUGAGAUGUUGGGUUAAGUCCCGCAACGAGCGCAACCCUCGUCCUCUGUUGCCAUCAGGUUAUGCUGGGCACUCUGAGGAGACUGCCGGUGAUAAACCGGAGGAAGGUGGGGAUGACGUCAAGUCAGCAUGGCCUUUAUGUCUGGGGCUACACACGUGCUACAAUGGCCGGUACAAACCGUUGCGAUCCCGCGAGGGGGAGCUAAUCGGAGAAAGCCGGUCUCAGUUCGGAUCGUAGGCUGCAACUCGCCUGCGUGAAGUCGGAAUCGCUAGUAAUCGCGGAUCAGCACGCCGCGGUGAAUACGUUCCCGGGCCUUGUACACACCGCCCGUCACAUCACGAAAGCCGGCUGUACUCGAAGUCGCUGAG
rnacentral:rRNA from 1 species